GGGUUGUGAGGUUAAGCGACUAAGCGUACACGGUGGAUGCCCUGGCAGUCAGAGGCGAUGAAGGGCGUGCUAAUCUGCGAUAAGCGCCGGUAAGGUGAUAUGAACCGUUAUAACCGGCGAUACCCGAAUGGGGAAACCCAGUGUGAUUCGUCACACUAUCAUUAACUGAAUCCAUAGGUUAAUGAGGCGAACCGGGGGAACUGAAACAUCUAAGUACCCCGAGGAAAAGAAAUCAACCGAGAUUCCCCCAGUAGCGGCGAGCGAACGGGGAGGAGCCCAGAGCCUGAAUCAGCAUGUGUGUUAGUGGAAGCGUCUGGAAAGGCGCGCGAUACAGGGUGACAGCCCCGUACACAAAAGCGCAUGUGCUGUGAGCUCGAUGAGUAGGGCGGGACACGUGGUAUCCUGUCUGAAUAUGGGGGGACCAUCCUCCAAGGCUAAAUACUCCUGACUGACCGAUAGUGAACCAGUACCGUGAGGGAAAGGCGAAAAGAACCCCGGCGAGGGGAGUGAAAAAGAACCUGAAACCGUGUACGUACAAGCAGUGGGAGCACAGGUUUACCUGUGUGACUGCGUACCUUUUGUAUAAUGGGUCAGCGACUUAUAUUCUGUAGCAAGGUUAACCGAAUAGGGGAGCCGCAGGGAAACCGAGUCUUAAUUGGGCGUUAAGUUGCAGGGUAUAGACCCGAAACCCGGUGAUCUAGCCAUGGGCAGGUUGAAGGUUGGGUAACACUAACUGGAGGACCGAACCGACUAAUGUUGAAAAAUUAGCGGAUGACCUGUGGCU
rnacentral:rRNA from 1 species